GCAAGUGUAGCUCAGUUGGUAGAGCACUCGACUGAUACUCGAGCGGUCGUAGGUUCGAAUCCUACCACUUGCACCA
rnacentral:tRNA from 3 species